rnacentral:lncRNA from 1 species
UCCAGCUAUUUGGCCCAACCCAUAUUAGAUUGUGUUAUAAAGACAUGGUAAAUUACAUCACGAAGGGAAGAGCAGAGGAAACAUAAUAUUCCUUCAAGACCCAUCAGCUCAGAUGUUAGCAGAACACCCCUAAGGAGGAAAACAAGAAAUUUUGGGUUUGAACUUGGUACUUCCCAGCAGCCCUGGGAGUGGGGUCAGAAGCCCUGCUGGGGGCCAAAGAACUCUGAGGAUCAAAGAUGUUGAGCAUCACCUUAGAGGCCAAAGAUCAGAACAGUGGAGGUGGCCUUUGAAGCCCAACCUGUCUUUCACCAGAGAGUGAGAACGGCCUCUAUUUCCAGGAAGCUCACUGCAGCAAUAAUCAUGAUGCUCUGAGCCUGACAAGCAAAAGAAAACUUCUUUAGGAGGAUAAAAGGGAGAUGAAGAAACAGAAAACACAUCAGCUCUCCAUCCAGAUUACAGAAAGCAGAAAACAUCCUGAAGUGAAUAACAUAGGAAUCGCUCUUUUUCCCCCCUGAGAUAGCAGGUUACUUAUGAGAAACAAGCUUGAAAUCUCUGCACCUGGACCAGCUUCCAGAGGCUUUUGUCCUGACCAGCUGGCUUUGGGGAAGUAAAGGAAACCAGAGAAGAAGAGGCUGAAAGAAUUGGUUUCCACCGUGACCUUUGAACCCUCGGGCGAGUUGUCAGCCUCACUGAGGAUGAGUGUACUCCAUAUCAAGUGAGGUCACUUUACUCGCAAGCUUGUUGUGAGGACUGAAUGAAACCUUUUCUUUUUUCUUGGAGUUUCAGAGCAACGUCCCUGAGCCCAGCCCCACACUGGCUUGAGCCCUGUCGUCGGUCAAGACACGGUGCUUUCUCCCCUCCCCUCUGCACUCCAGCUUACUCUGCAGUCAGGAGGUGGCACCACGAUCCCCUUUAAGACUUUGCCACUUGGGCCAGCUGCGCCCCUGUGAAAUUCCCUGUUUCUAUUGCAG